rnacentral:rRNA from 1 species
GAUGAACGCUGGCGGCGUGCCUAAUACAUGCAAGUCGAGCGAAUGGAUUAAGAGCUUGCUCUUAUGAAGUUAGCGGCGGACGGGUGAGUAACACGUGGGUAACCUGCCCAUAAGACUGGGAUAACUCCGGGAAACCGGGGCUAAUACCGGAUAACAUUUUGAACCGCAUGGUUCGAAAUUGAAAGGCGGCUUCGGCUGUCACUUAUGGAUGGACCCGCGUCGCAUUAGCUAGUUGGUGAGGUAACGGCUCACCAAGGCAACGAUGCGUAGCCGACUUGGGAGGGUGAUCGGCCACACUGGGACUGAGACACGGCCCAGACUCCUACGGGAGGCAGCAGUAGGGAAUCUUCCGCAAUGGACGAAAGUCUGACGGAGCGACGCCGCGUGAGUGAUGAAGGCUUUCGGGUCGUAAAACUCUGUUGUUAGGGAAGAACAAGUGCUAGUUGAAUAAGCUGGCACCUUGACGGUACCUAACCAGAAAGCCACGGCUAACUACGUGCCAGCCGCCGCAGUAA